rnacentral:rRNA from 1 species
UACGUAGGGCGCGAGCGUUGUCCGGAUUUAUUGGGCGUAAAGAGCUCGUAGGCGGCUUGUCGCGUCGAAUGUGAAAACCUGCAGCUCAACUGCAGGCUUGCAUUCGAUACGGGCAGGCUCGAGUUCGGUAGGGGAGACUGGAAUUCCUGAUGUAGCGGUGAAAUGCGCAGAUAUCAGGAGGAACACCGGUGGCGAAGGCGGGUCUCUGGGCCGAUACUGACGCUGAGGAGCGAAAGCGUGGGGAGCGAACAGG